UACGUAGGGUGCGAGCGUUAAUCGGAAUUACUGGGCGUAAAGCGUGCGCAGGCGGUUCGUUGUGUCGGCGGUGAAAGCCCCCGGGCUCAACCUGGGAAUGGCCGUUUGAAAACUGGCGAACUGGAGUGUGGCAGAGGGGGGUGGAAUUCCACGUGUAGCAGUGAAAUGCGUAGAGAUGUGGAGGAACACCGAUGGCGAAGGCAGCCCCCCCUGGGCUGAGAUUGACGCUCAGGCACGAAAGCGUGGGGAGCAAACAGG
rnacentral:rRNA from 1 species